rnacentral:lncRNA from 1 species
AACCCACUUUGAAGUGAAGUGGGGGGAAAAUGGGUUCUCUACUUGUAUCAACUUUUGUUUCUCUUGCAUUGGCUGUAAUGCUCUUUAGUUUGUCAUCUGAAGCAGACACCAUUAACCAUUUCAGAUCCCACUCUCCUGCAACUGAUGUAGACACCAUUAGCAAAUUCAGACUCCGCUCUCCUCCACCUAAAGUACCUCGCUCUUCUCCACCUAAAGCAGACACCAUUAACAAAUUCAUCUCCGACUCUCCUCUAGCUAAAGCAGACACCAUUAACAAAUUCAGACCCCGCUCUC